AGAUUAGGUGGGGCAGUGACCUCAGGGGUUCCAGUGUUGUGUAAGGCUCUAAUCUGAAAGGUUCCUCCUAGGAAUACAGGGGGAAGAGGGUCCAAGCCCACCAUUGUGUUGUAUGUUAUGGUAUUCACACUCCUGUCCACACUCCUGUGGAUAGAGAUGGUACAAGUGUAUCUCUGCAGUUUCUCCUGAUUGACCUGAGCUCAGGUGAGAACUAGGUGGCUCCAACAAGGCAUUGCUAGCACACAGCUGCUCUUUUCUGCCUUGCCCAAGUAGGAACUUCACUUCUGCAUAGUUAGUUGACACAUAUUUAAGAUGCUCCUGGAAAAUAAAAAUGGGGACAGUGUUGAAGAGCCAAUACUAAAAUUAAACCUCUUCUGAGAGAAGCGACAGAGAAUUGUGUCAUGUAAUGCUUACCUUUAUGGGCAUGCAAUUAUGCUUAACAAACUUAACUUUUGCUUGAAAAAUCAAUGUCAGGCAGCUGACCUAAUAUCCACAAGUAUCUGAAAAGUUAGGGAAGUAACAAAGAAACACUUUUUCUUAAGAGGAAAGUUGUCGCUUUGCUCUAAAUUCUAGCCGCUAUAGAAUUUGAAUAGCUCUAGUAUAAGGCUCUGAGUUAAUACUUUAGUAAUGAAGUAAAUCCCAUACAUUCCUUUUCAGAAAGCAACUAACAGUUUUUCAGAACGGUCGAAGCCUUACUCUUGUGUAUGUCAGCCCAGGGUGUUGAAAAUCUUUCUGAAGUGUACUGUGUGCCUUUGUUCCUGCUUUAUCUUGUUUUGUUGUGGAUAAAGUUGAGGACUGUCUUCCUUCUGCCCAGGAAUCAGAGUCAGUCCACCCAAGCAUAGUCUCCUCAGCAAGUGAUUAGGUUCCCCUGUGUACCUCAUUGUUUGACCAGAGUACGGUCUUCUCUGUCUAGAGCAGAAGUGCUAGACAUACUUUCUAAGGCUGGUUAAACUGACCGAACCCUAGAAUCCUUCUCAGGCCUAUGACUGCAGAGCUACAUUUGAACCCUCUUUUACCGAAAAGCCCUGUGAUUGCUCUAUGCCCUGGAGUUGAGUCACAUAGUGUUCUAGUGUGGAGCUCUGGAGAACUGUGAGGAACAUGUUAGUCUGGUGUCCGAGAAAUGUUCUGGCUCAGACGGUGGAGUGAGUGCUGCACCCCUUUGACAAGUUGACUAACAGUGAGGGGCAGGUGAGCAUCCCUGUGUUCACAGCAGGAAGAGGUCAAAGAAGGCACUUUGGGGAAGAGACGUGAGCUCACUCUAGGCAUCAGUGUAAGUGCCUCCCCAGUGGACAGGCUCUCCAGCAGGAAACCUCAGGAACUACUUCAUCACUCUUCUGUAGACAUCAGGUCCCAAGGGGAGGUGACCAAGGGGCCUCUGCAGAGAGACACAUGGGAAGGAUAAAAUUCCCACCUAGAAAUUUGAAGGUUAAAACACUGCUUAGCUUCAUUGGGCUGCAAAGUGGGGUUGGGAACUGGUGUCUUUGCCCCAUAAAGAUCCUUCUAGAUCCAGGUUCAGAUGCUAGAUGGGGUAGCAGAAGCUAACAUGAAUUGUUCUAGAAGUUUUUUCUUUUAAUGCAAGGCAUAUUAUGUGAAUUUUCUGAAUAAUAAAUACACAGUUCUACACAGAGAUGUAUGCUUUACAUGACUUGGUGCAGCGCUUUGACAGGGUCUCCUGCUUCUUCCCAACAGCCUGUAAGGAAAGGUGGAGUGGGUAGCCAGUCUUCCUGCAGGUACGGUACAGAAGCCAACAGUAUUAAUAAUGACAGUAGGUGCUAUUUAGUGAAUGUCUCCCAUGGCCAAGAGAGGACAAAAUGUUUUUGUUUCCUGGCUGACUUAAUGUGAGGUGACUGCUCUCAAGUUAGGGACUUACCCAGAGUUAUUAAGUGCUUUGCCACCAUCCUGCUCUCAGAGGAGAGAGCUUCAGAAGAAGCUGAGGGGGCAGUGUUCUUGAGCUGGUAAGAAAAGAUGUGGGAGCCUCUUUACUCCCACACAAGUUUAUAUGAGAUUACAGCUUGGGUUUGAUUUACCUGUGAUAGAUCUAACUGGUUGAUGACAUUAGACAGACUGUCCUGGAAAUAUCUUAAGGUUUCUGUUAGGGAUACAGAAUCCUGGGCCAGACCAUUGUGUUGUGGCAACUGCAAACUGAUGUGGAGCUUUUCAUGAGUCUUGUGUUCCAGCUUCCUUUUCUGCUUCAAGAUUACUGCACUUUUGAUGUUAAUUUAAAAUGCCAUUGAUCCUGCAGAAAAGAGGAAUUUUAUAAAUUCUAAAAUGGAAGACUGUUAGUUCUAAUUCUCACUAAUAUAUUAGAAGAUAGGAAAUCUAAACAUGUGAACUCUUCCUGAUCACACUAGUUGCCCAAAUUCAGUAACCCUCCUGUCUUUGCUCUUUAUGUUGUGGCCAGGAUGUGUGAGGACAGCAAUGUGGCAUUUUAUGACUUUAGGAAACAGGCAACAAGUGUUGGCUGUGAAGCAGGUGUAGGUCCUUGUUGUGACUCACUCUCUUCCUCAGAAGAGGUGGACUUUACAUUCUGUCUUCACAGAGGUCCUCAGAGGUGGCUGUCAUUGGAGUAUGUUGUCCUGGCUGGAGGUCAUAGAGGUCGGGGGGGUCAGUCCAAGAUCAUCUUAUGGAAAGGGUUCUGUCUAUCCUGAUACAGAUAGAAAAAGGCAUCAGGGUCAUCUGAGCUCAAGAUGCAGCUUCGUAUGGCAGGCUAUGCCCCCAAGGGUGCCAAGCUUGGGGUUAGAUGAAAGAGAAGAACAGUAUGCACCUUGCCUCGUUUUUGGUGUCCAUGUGAGUGUCUUCUUAGAAUUCUGUUUUAACCAAAACUGAUUUAACCCAGCCUGACCUCUGGGUGACUCAGUCCCAUGGGUGAGUCUCCUGCCCACCCCCCUACUGUAAACCUCUGUCUGGAAGCUGGGACCUCUGUCUCUGUCAGUAGAAGUUGUACUUUUUAUUCCACUCAGGUGGGCCAUCCUGAGCCCCCUUGGUCUCUAUGGGGAGCAUGUGCUGGUUAUCAGAAUAGGUGGCUGAGUUUGUGGCUAAGUGGCUGGCUGUGGAAGUAGCACAUUUUCGUUCUGCCCUUCUGAGUGCCCAUGCUUGGAGCCCCCUUCUCAAACUGCUCCUAUUCACUCUUGGGGCAAGUGAGUGGAGCUGAACAAAUAGUGACACAGGGAUUCCAUGAACUGGGAAGCAUUUUCUGCCUAAGGAGGACCUACCACUAUUCUGCAUGCUUUGUUUAAAAGUACUUUCUGAAUGAAUUCCAGGUCUUGGGAGGCAAUAUACUUUCAUCUCAAUCACCAGUUGGCCUAUGCUGUUUAUGGAGAAAUAACAGUAAAACUGAAAAGUAGCUCAGCAGUCUCAUUUCUAGCAAGUGCUUAUGGUGCUGGGUGCAGAGGGUGCAGAACUGGAGAUGCCCAGCCACCACCCUGGAGGGACCUGGAGCAGGUGUGGAGUGUGCACAUGGGUGGUCUGGUGUGGGGCAGCCUUACAGGGCCACAAUUCUUAGGUCCAAGUGGGACAGUUCUUUACAUGUUUUAUUCAGAGAUCAGAAUUCUCAGAAGCAUGAAAUGAUUGUCUAGAAUCAUCCUUUUUUCAUCAUUUGUGUUUUCAGAAUGAAAAGUUUUAGUCAGGUUCAGGGGGUCAGUUCUUCGUUCAUCUCUGAUCUGAGGGGAAUGGAGAGUUUGGAGGAAUUGCUGGCAAAUCCUUGAACAGUUUGCCUUCUUAGCAUUGAGAUAGGAAAGGGGCAGUUGUAAGGCUCUGUGAAGGGCCUGGAGUAUGGUUUCAGGUUAGUGAGGUUAGGUUUGCUCUGUGUGGCUUCCAGAGGCUAACCUAGGAUUUGGAAAGCAGGAGCUUCUGGGAGCUAGGUACUUUAGUGCUCAGGGGAGCUCUUGAUUAUCAUCAUAGCUGGCUUGAGAGUCCCAGGCCACCAUGCCAGGUGGAUGUGCAGACACUCCUGGGCCCUCAGACUCCUGGCCUGUGGGUUCCUGGAGGUUCUGUAAUUGUGUAUGGAGCCUGCUAAAAGGAGGCGUCUUGUGAGGUGAUGUGCCACUGCAGGCAGGUGGGGUUAAAAGCUUUCAAAUCCUCCAGGGACUUCAACAGAGAUUUCUGGAUUCAUUCAUUGGAGGCUCUAAAAUGAAGAAUUGUGGUUUACUGAGCACUUACUGUGUGCCAGGUAUGUGUAGUGCUCUUUGCAUCUUCAGCCGUUCUCUGAACUACUCUUUGAAGUAAACUACUCAUUUUAGGGGAGAGCAAAGGUUAAAUGAUCUUCUAGUGUUACAGAGAUGGAUAUGGGGAGCUCUGGGCCCAAACCCAGUGCUGGUUGACACAGAAGCUGGUGGGCUUAGCAGUAGUCUCCCACCUCCCACGUAAGUACUGCCCAUCCUUAAAGUCGAAUGCCAGCGCAUCUUCUGAGGUUAACCUUAAAGGUGAAGUUUUUUUUGUUUGUUUGUUUUUAAAUGGCCACACCUGCAGUAUAUGGCAGUUCCUGGGCCAGGGAUUGAAUCUGAGCCACAGCUGUGACCUGAGCUACAGCUGUGGCAGAUCUGGAUCCUUUUUAACCCAUUGUGCUGGGCCAGGGAUGGAACCUGCGCCUCCACAGUGGCGUGAGCUGUGAGCUGUUGCAGUCAGGUUCUUAACCCACUGUACCACAAUGGAAACUCUGAAGAUGAAGUGUUUUUAAAUAUUGUUUUGUAGGAGUUCCCAUCGUGGCGCAGUGGUUAACGAAUCCGACUAGGAACCAUAAUGUUGCGGGUUCGAUUCCUGCCCUUGCUCAGUGGGUUAAGGAUCCAGCAUUGUCGUGAGCGGUGGUGUAGGUCAUAGACGUGCUUCGGAUCCUGUGUUGCUGUGGCUCUGGCGUAGGCUGGUGGCUACAGCUCCCAUUAGACCCCUAACCUGGGAACCUCCAUAUGCCGCAGAAGCGGCCCUAGAAAAGGCAAAAAG
rnacentral:lncRNA from 1 species